CGGCGGACGGGUGAGUAACGCGUGGGCAACCUGCCUUACACAGGGGGAUAACAGUUAGGAAUGACUGCUAAUACCGCAUAAGACCGCAGUACCGCAUGGUACAGCGGUAAAAACUCCGGUGGUGUAAGAUGGGCCCGCGUCUGAUUAGGUAGUUGGCGGGGUAACGGCCCACCAAGCCGACGAUCAGUAGCCGACCUGAGAGGGUGACCGGCCACAUUGGGACUGAGACACGGCCCAGACUCCUACGGGAGGCAGCAG
rnacentral:rRNA from 1 species